UCUCUGAUCGUAUAGUGGCUAGUAUACCGCCUUGUCAUUUGCGAUUGCAAGCCGGCGGUGACCUGGGUUCAAUUCCCAGUCAGAGAG
rnacentral:tRNA from 1 species